GAUGAACGCUGGCGGCGUGCCUAAUACAUGCAAGUCGAGCGAACAGACGAGGAGCUUGCUCCUUCGACGUUAGCGGCGGACGGGUGAGUAACACGUAGGUAACCUACCUAUAAGACUGGGAUAACUUCGGGAAACCGGAGCUAAUACCGGAUAAUAUUUCGAACCGCAUGGUUCGAUAGUGAAAGAUGGCUUUGCUAUCACUUAUAGAUGGACCUGCGCCGUAUUAGCUAGUUGGUAAGGUAACGGCUUACCAAGGCAACGAUACGUAGCCGACCUGAGAGGGUGAUCGGCCACACUGGAACUGAGACACGGUCCAGACUCCUAAGGGAGGCAGCAGUAGGGAAUCUUCCGCAAUGGGCGAAAGCCUGACGGAGCAACGCCGCGUGAGUGAUGAAGGUCUUCGGAUCGUAAAACUCUGUUAUUAGGGAAGAACAAACGUGUAAGUAACUGUGCACGUCUUGACGGUACCUAAUCAGAAAGCCACGGCUAACUACGUG
rnacentral:rRNA from 1 species